GGCCUGCACGUAACGUAACGCACGGCGCUGUAGCGGAUCCCCCUCCUCCACCUCUCUCUCCUCUAGGCGCCGCCGGUUCUCCUUUCCUCUCCUCCUUUGACUCCCUCCGCCGCCGCCGCUGCCGCCUACACGUACGGGCCAGGGUCCAACCCCCGAAGCCAGGGCUAGCCGAGGCCUGUCUGAGCAACGGUUUUCCGCACUGCUGCUUAUCCGCUGACGAAGAACUCCCACCAGCCCCAAAUCCCAGCGGAAGAUGCAGGCCAAGAAGCUGACGCUCCUGCAGACGGUGGCUGCCGCCGGAGUCUUCUCAGCCGUCUCCUUCUGGUACGGCUUCAUGUUUGGGAGGGAGUCCGCGCGGCGCGAGCUUGGCGGCAUCAUCGACGACCUUCGCAGCGGCUCCACGGCCACCUCUGCCGCGCCCUCCCCCGACUCCCACGCUCACACCAAACCAUAGUGCGAUCCUGCUCUAAGGAGGUGGGUAUUAGAAGAGUUGCCAAACAGUUCUGUGUGAUUUGGUCAUCAAUUCUUCCACUGUAUAACAAUGGUGUACAUUCGCUCUCCUGGCGCACCUAAGCUGGAAAGUGGCAGUGGAUAAUCCGAAAUAUCCGAUAUCCGUAUGCGGGAAAAUGACUAUCCGUAUCUGAAAUAUCCGCACCCGAAUUAAAAUGUAAAUGGAAGGUAUCCGGAUCUAUUUUAUUACAAAUACUAAUACAAAUAUGGUAGUAGUAUGAGAUUUUGACACAGAUAUGGAUAUGGAAGUGGAUAUACCCGUAGCCGAAUAAAAUUACAUGAGCUAAUUGUAGCAGUUCUAGCUCUAAUAUGCCAAUUGUCCAACAUAAAAUGCCUAAGAAGUGGUCACAUUUUACCUUUUCUGCGGUUAAACUUGGAAAUUGUUAUGCAUUAAAGUACUCCCUCUGUAAAUAAAUAUAAGAGUGUUUAGGUCACUACUUUAGUUAUUUAAAUGCUCUUAUAUUUCUUUACGGA